AUACUUUCUGUUACUUAGGUUUUCGAUUUGGAUGAAGAAUCUUGUAGAACGUAAGAGAUAUUUUGAAAGGCAGUAAUAAUAGCGAAUACACAUACACAACAUCGUCAUUGAAUUGAGUCAUAAUUAAGGACAAUCCCAUUAGUUUAGAUGUAAAUUUAGGAUACUAAAUGUCCAAAACGACGACCAGGUUCAAAUGGGUUUGAUUCACUUCUCUCAUAAUAGUCCAAUACAGCCAAUAUCUUACCUACAUCAAUAGAAAUUAACAUGAACAAUCCUCUCAUUUUCUUUUACCUAGAUCUAAUCAGUCCUCACAACAAUCAAAUAAAGAAAGAGAAAACUCAGAAAAUAUGGAAACAGCUUCGAUUGCAGAAUCUUCCACUACUUUGAAGACAUCAUCAGUUGGACAAACAAGAAUUGCCGAUGUGUAUAUGCCUAGAACGAUUUCUCAUGAAAAACAAGAAAUAAUAUCGCAGUUGAUGGUAAAAAUGGUAUGCAUAAAUACUUUUUCUGUUUCCUCUGUUAUAAAUAAGGGUUUCAAAGAUUUACUGUCCUAUAUGAUACUUUUUUACAUGGAAUUACAUAAUUUGGAGCAAAUUAUGUAAUUCCAUGUAAAAAAUAAAUUUUCUCCCGAAUUCAAUCAUAAUAUGAAGUAGAACAAUGUAAAUCAAUUGUGAAGUUCAGUGAAUCAGGGAUGUAAGUAAAAUAAGUAGCUUCAACGACAGAUUGUUAGGGGUCAAGGUCAAACGAAUCAUAAAUAACCGUCACUUGUCAUUAUAUCGAUAGCAAUUGGCAACAAACUUCGGUAAAUUUGACGAAUUUUCAAUUUACGAAAUGAGUAAAAAGAAAUUCUUGAGAAUUGGAAAUUGUCAGAAAAAUGUGUAGCAAUUGUUCACGAUAAUGCAGCAAAUAUUGUUGCUGCUACUAGAGAUCUUCCAUUCUUUGCUGUAUACUGUUUUUUCCUCACACAUUGCAAUUGGUAAUAAGGAUGAUCAAGAUUGAUUGGAUGAUCAAAAUAUCGAAUCAUUAAUCGACAAAUGUGAUAAUAUCAAUCAGGAUUUCGAACAAAGCAACUAAUGCUUUAAAUCUAAAACGAACUCAGUUGAGUUUACCCGUUCAUAAAUUGGUUCAAUGGGGAAAACUCAUUGGAAUUCUUCAUUUCAUAGGUAUGUUGCAAAGGUUAAUAGAACAACGAAAAUCAUAAUUGCAGUUUUAUCAGAUAGAUCAACGACAACAAAGUCUCAAGCAGCUCAUUUUUUUUGUUUCGGAGGGAAUAUGAUCGGAUAUUGAAUGCCUUUUGCAAUCUCUGAAACCCUUUGAUGUCGUCGCAAAUUUAUUAUCUAUGGAAUCUCAACCAAUCCUUUCAAUGGUCAUGCCGAUAAUUCAAUCUUUAUCACAAAAUUUUAUUGCCAACAACAAUGAUCAAACGAAUUCUAAGAACAUUAAAUUUUCAAAAUACACUUCGCGACUCGUGUUCAAUUCUUUGAAUUAUUCAACGAACUCUGUUUUUCUGAUUCAUUUUUUUUUAAAGAAAGAUUAUACUUCAGUUGAUAUGUGUGGAUUUUUGGACUCAAGAUUUAAAAGAAUAGAAAGAUUCGUCGGUUCGCAAUUCAGAAUCAAACAAUAUUAUAUGUGACUAUUGAAAUUGAGAAAUGUCUUAAAUUGGUAAUGCAUAUGGAACAGGAAAGCAUAGUUUCAAAUGAAAAAAUCGAUUGAAACGACGGAAUUAGAUUUCCUGAAAAAAAAAUAAGAUGAAUCUUUAAAAAAAACCAAUUGUUAUAAUAAAAUAUAAUAUAAUAUAAUAAUACGCCGUAGAUUAUCCAAUACCCAAAGAUUUAUAUCCACUAUUAUGGUGGAGAAAUAAUCAAAACAACUACAUCAAAUUUUUUGAACUAGCAAAAAAGUAUUUAUGUACCAUCAACAUUAACUUCGUCAAAACGCGCGUUUUCUUGAGCUGGUAAUAUAAGUAUUGUGUCUGGAUAUGAAUUUUAAAUAUUAUUGAUUCUUUACAUGUUGAUACAAAUUGCAUGUAGAAGCUUAUAUUAUAAUUAUUAUUAUUAAAUAUUUAUUGCUGAAUCAAUAUCUUAUACUUUUCUAUUCAAUUUUUAUAUUUUUUUCGUAAUAAAAUCCUAAUUCUA